GCAUUCUUAGCUCAGAUGGAUAGAGCUACGGUCUUCUAAACCGUCGGUCGCGGGUUCAAUUCCUGCAGAAUGUA
rnacentral:tRNA from 1 species